rnacentral:rRNA from 1 species
UACGGGGGGGGCAAGCGUUGUUCGGAAUUACUGGGCGUAAAGGGCUCGUAGGCGGCCAACUAAGUCAGACGUGAAAUCCCUCGGCUUAACCGGGGAACUGCGUCUGAUAUUGGAUGGCUUGAGAUUGGGAGAGGGAUGCGGAAUUCCAGGUGUAGCGGUGAAAUGCGUAGAUAUCUGGAGGAACACCGGUGGCGAAGGCGACAUCCUGGACCAACACUGACGCUGAGGAGCGAAAGCCAGGGGAGCAAACGGG